ACCGUUUGUGGUUUACAAACACAAUGACUGGGUUUUCAGAGUUUUGUGAGAUGUGUCUCCCUCAAGCCUUCUUAUAACAUUAGCACAUAACUUAUCUGCCA
ensembl:snoRNA